GUCUCCAUAGUUCAAGGGAAGAAUAAGGGACUCCUAAGCCCUAGAUGGUGGUUCGAUUCCACCUGGAGACACCA
rnacentral:tRNA from 1 species